AUUGAACGCUGGCGGCAGGCCUAACACAUGCAAGUCGAGCGGAUGAAGGGAGCUUGCUCCUGGAUUCAGCGGCGGACGGGUGAGUAAUGCCUAGGAAUCUGCCUGGUAGUGGGGGAUAACGUCCGGAAACGGGCGCUAAUACCGCAUACGUCCUGAGGGAGAAAGUGGGGGAUCUUCGGACCUCACGCUAUCAGAUGAGCCUAGGUCGGAUUAGCUAGUUGGUGGGGUAAAGGCCUACCAAGGCGACGAUCCGUAACUGGUCUGAGAGGAUGAUCAGUCACACUGGAACUAAGACACGGUCCAGACUCCUACGGGAGGCAGCAGUGUGGAAUAUUGGACAAUGGGCGAAAGCCUGGUCCAACCAUGCCGCGUGUGUGAAGAAGGUCUUCGGAUUGUAAAGCACUUUAAGUUGGGAGAAAGGGCAGUAAGUUAAUACCUUGCUGUUUUGACGUUACCAACAGAAUAAGCACCGGCUAACUUCGUG
rnacentral:rRNA from 1 species